UGAUAGCACUUAAGGGUUUAAUAUUCAAAAGUUAGGUCUGGGUUUAGCAUUUAGGAGUUGUGUAUUGGGUUACAGCCAUAUACUAUUCAAAAGUUAGGUCUGAGUUUAGUUUAAUAUUACAUAAUAUUAUAUACUAUCUUCAGAUUUUGAUAAUUGGGCUUAUGGUUUAUAUUUGAGUUUAGGGUUCGGUAAUUAGAAUUUAGGGUUUAAUAUCUAGAUGUAAGGGUAGCGUUUAAAGUUUAGGGUUUAGUAUUUAGGGGGUGAUGUUUGGAGUAAAGUUUAUUAUUUACGAGAUGUGAGUGGAUUUGGAGUCCUAUUCUAUUUCAAUGAUAUGAUCUAGAAAAAUCUGAUGCAUAUUUAUGUGGUAAACAAAUGUGUGGUGUUGGUGGCAUUACGUUGUGUGAUAAUUAAUUGUGGAGUGUCAAGUUGUCCAUGUCAUCAAUUUUCUCUCUCUAUUACUCGC
rnacentral:lncRNA from 1 species